UACGAAGGGGGCUAGCGUUGCUCGGAAUUACUGGGCGUAAAGGGCGCGUAGGCGGCACUGUUAGUCAGGCGUGAAAGUCCUGGGCUCAACCUGGGAACUGCGCUUGAUACGGCAGAGCUAGAGGAUGGAAGAGGGUCGCGGAAUUCCCAGUGUAGAGGUGAAAUUCGUAGAUAUUGGGAAGAACACCGGUGGCGAAGGCGGCGACCUGGUCCGUUACUGACGCUGAGGCGCGACAGCGUGGGGAGCAAACAGG
rnacentral:rRNA from 1 species